GAGCACGCCGCGUGAACGAAGAAGGCCUUCGGGUCGUAAAGUUCUGUUGUUAGGGAAGAACAAGUACCAGAGUAACUGCUGGUACCUUGACGGUACCUAACCAGAAAGCCACGGCUAACUACGUGCCAGCAGCCGCGGUAAUACGUAGGUGGCAAGCGUUGUCCGGAAUUAUUGGGCGUAAAGCGCGCGCAGGUGGUUCCUUAAGUCUGAUGUGAAAGCCCACGGCUCAACCGUGGAGGGUCAUUGGAAACUGGGGAACUUGAGUGCAGAAGAGGAAAGUGGAAUUCCAAGUGUAGCGGUGAAAUGCGUAGAGAUUUGGAGGAACACCAGUGGCGAAGGCGACUUUCUGGUCUGUAACUGACACUGAGGCGCGAAAGCGUGGGGAGCAAACAGGAUUAGAUACCCUGGUAGUCCACGCCGUAAACGAUGAGUGCUAAGUGUUAGAGGGUUUCCGCCCUUUAGUGCUGCAGCUAACGCAUUAAGCACUCCGCCUGGGGAGUACGGCCGCAAGGCUGAAACUCAAAGAA
rnacentral:rRNA from 1 species